rnacentral:rRNA from 1 species
CCUACGGGAGGCAGCAGUGGGGAAUAUUGCACAAUGGGCGGAAGCCUGAUGCAGCGACGCCGCGUGAGGGAUGACGGCCUUCGGGUUGUAAACCUCUUUCGACCCUGACGAAGCGCAAGUGACGGUAGGGGGAGAAGAAGCACCGGCCAACUACGUGCCAGCAGCCGCGGUAAGACGUAGGGUGCGAGCGUUGUCCGGAUUUAUUGGGCGUAAAGAGCUCGUAGGCGGCUCGUCGCGUCGACCGUGAAAACCCGCGGCUUAACUGCGGGCUUGCGGUUGAUACGGGCGGGCUAGAGUUCGGUAGGGGAGACUGGAAUUCCUGGUGUAGCGGUGAAAUGCGCAGAUAUCAGGAGGAACACCGGUGGCGAAGGCGGGUCUCUGGGCCGAUACUGACGCUGAGGAGCGAAAGCGUGGGGAGCGAACAGGAUUAGAUACCCUU